CCCGUGUGGUUGAGAGUGAGGAACCGUCUUUGGUUCUCGGUAGAACCCGUGUGGUUGAGAGUGAGGAACCAUCUUUGGUUCUCGGUAGAACCCGUGUGGUUGAGAGUGAGGAACCAUCUUUGAUUCUAGGUAGAACCCGUGUGGUUGAGAGUGAGGAACCAUCUUUGGUUCCAGGUAGAACCCGUGUGGUUGAGAGUGAGGAACCAUCUUUGGUUCUCGGUAGAACCCGUGUGGUUGAGAGUGAGGAACCAUCUUUGGUUCUCGGUAGAACCCGUGUGGUUGAGAGUGAGGAACCAUCUUUGAUUCUAGGUAGAACCCGUGUGGUUGAGAGUGAGGAACCAUCUUUGGUUCCAGGUAGAACCCGUGUGGUUGAGAGUGAGGAACCAUCUUUGGUUCUAGGUAGAACCCGUGUGGUUGAGAGUGAGGAACCAUCUUUGGUUCUAGGUAGAACCCGUGUGGUUGAGAGUGAGGAACCAUCUUUGAUUCUCGGUAGAACCCGUGUGGUUGAGAGUGAGGAACCAUCUUUGGUUCAAUUCAAUUCAAUUCAAUUCAAUUUUAUUUCUAUAGCGUCAAUUACAGUCAAAUCGUCUCAAGACGCUUUACAGAACCCAUAUGCCUGACCCCCAGAGCAGUCCAAAGGAGACAGUGGCAAGAAAACACCCUUUUAACAGGGAAGAAACCUCGAGCAGAACCCGGCUCUAUAUAGGGGGGACCCAUCUGCCUGCUGGCCGGGCGGGUUGAGGAGGACAGAAGAGGGCAAGGGGGAGGGAUGGGAGAAGAGGGAGGGGUGGGAAAGCAAGGAAAACACAACACACAUUUGGAUACAUGUAUGACAGUAUAUGUGACACAGACAAAGUAUAAGCUAACAUUGAAAACUGACUCAUAGUUUACUCUUAUGAUGUACGGCUCUGACAUUAAACAUACUCCAUAUAUAGCUAGCAGUAAAAUUCAAACAGUAUGUAAGUUAGCAUAACAGUAUAGUGAAGGCGAUGCAGAGUUGACUGGUGGAAAAAGGGAGUUGGAAGCAGAGGGCUGGAGGAAGGUCAGCAGCAGCAUCCCACAGUGGACAUGAUGGAGACUGGACCAGCUGGUGGAACAUCAACCACAGAUCUGAAGCAUCCAGCUCUGGGACCAGGGACACUCAGAGAAAUAACACAGGGGGAAACAGAGUGAAUGUACUGCAAUAACGGUAUACAUAUUAAAUGUAAAGGUAGACAGAGAAGGGCUCAGUGCAUCAAGAGAAGUCCCCCAGCAGCCUAUAGGCCUAUAGCAGCAUGACUAGAGGCAGAACGAAGGGACGUCCAAGAGGGAGUCAGCUGUGCAAUGAAGACACAAGCCGAACCCCUGUGGGUCACCCAGUCAGCCCCAACUAUAAGAUUUGUCAAAAAGGAACGUUUUAAGCCUGGUCUUAAAAAUAGAGAGGGUGUCUGCCUCCAGAACCCAAACUGGGAGCAGGUUCCACAGGAGAGGAGCUGAUAACUGAAGGCUCUGCCUCCCAUUCUACUUUUAGAAAUUCUAGGAACAACAAGUAAGCCUGCAGUUUGAGAGCAAAGAGUUCUACUAGGAUAAUAAGGUACUAUCAGAUCUUUAAGAUAUGAUGGAGAUUGGUUAUUAAGAGCUUUAUAUGUCAGAAGAAGGAUUUUAAAUUCUAUUCUGGAUUUAACAGGAAGCCAGUGAAGAGAAGCAAGUACAGGGGAAAUAUGAUCUCUUUUGCUAACUCCUGUCAGUACUCUCGCAGCAGCGUUUUGGAUCAACUGUAGAUGUUUGAGAGAACUAUUUGGACAACCCGAUAAUAAGGAAUUGCAAUAGUCAAGCCUGGAAGUAACAAAAGCAUGAACUAAUUUUUCUGCAUCACUCUGAGACAGAAUGUUCCUGAUUUUUACAAUAUUACGCAGGUGAAAAAAGGAAGUCCUACAGACUUGCUUUAUGUGUGAGUUAAAGGACAUGUCCUGGUCAAAAAUAACUCCAAGAUUCCUCACAGUAGUACUGGAGGCCAAUGUGAUGCCAUCCAGAGUAACUAUUUGCUUUGAAAGCGAGUUUCUAAGAUGUUUGGGGCCAAAUACAAUGACUUCAGUUUUGUCUGAAUUUAGCAGUAGGAAGUUAAAAGUCAUCCAGGUUUUAAUGUCCUUAAGACAAUCUUGCAGUCUAGCUAACUGAUCAGUUUCAUCUGGCUUCAUAGAUAAAUACAAUUGUGUGUCAUCUGCAUAACAAUGGAAGUUAAUACAAUGCUUCCUAAUAAUAUUGCCUAAAGGAAGCAUGUAUAAUGUGAAAAGUAUCGGUCCUAAGACAGAAC